UAAGGUAAUGGCUUACCAAGGCUAUGACGCUUAACUGGUCUGAGAGGAUGAUCAGUCACACUGGAACUGAGACACGGUCCAGACUCCUACGGGAGGCAGCAGUAGGGAAUAUUGCGCAAUGGGGGAAACCCUGACGCAGCAACGCCGCGUGGAGGAUGACACUUUUCGGAGCGUAAACUCCUUUUCUUAGGGAAGAAUUCUGACGGUACCUAAGGAAUAAGCACCGGCUAACUCCGUGCCAGCAGCCGCGGUAAUACGGAGGGUGCAAGCGUUACUCGGAAUCACUGGGCGUAAAGGGCGCGUAGGCGGAUUAUCAAGUCUCUUGUGAAAUCUAAUGGCUUAACCAUUAAACUGCUUGGGAAACUGAUAGUCUAGAGUGAGGGAGAGGCAGAUGGAAUUGGUGGUGUAGGGGUAAAAUCCGUAGAUAUCACCAAGAAUACCCAUUGCGAAGGCGAUCUGCUGGAACUCAACUGACGCUAAGGCGCGAAAGCGUGGGGAGCAAACAGGAUUAGAUACCCUGGUAGUCCACGCCCUAAACGAUGUACACUAGUUGUUGGGGUGCUAGUCAUCUCAGUAAUGCAGCUAACGCAUUAAGUGUACCGCCUGGGGAGUACGGUCGCAAGAUUAAAACUCAAAGGAAUAGACGGGGACCCGCACAAGCGGUGGAGCAUGUGGUUUAAUUCGAAGAUACGCGAAGAACCUUACCUGGGCUUGAUAUCCUAAGAACCUUAUAGAGAUAUGAGGGUGCUAGCUUGCUAGAACUUAGAGACAGGUGCUGCACGGCUGUCGUCAGCUCGUGUCGUGAGAUGUUGGGUUAAGUCCCGCAACGAGCGCAACCCACGUAUUUAGUUGCUAACGGUUCGGCCGAGCACUCUAAAUAGACUGCCUUCGUAAGGAGGAGGAAGGUGUGGACGACGUCAAGUCAUCAUGGCCCUUAUGCCCAGGGCGACACACGUGCUACAAUGGCAUAUACAAUGAGACGCAAUACCGCGAGGUGGAGCAAAUCUAUAAAAUAUGUCCCAGUUCGGAUUGUUCUCUGCAACUCGAGAGCAUGAAGCCGGAAUCGCUAGUAAUCGUAGAUCAGCCAUGCUACGGUGAAUACGUUCCCGGGUCUUGUACUCACCGCCCGUCACACCAUGGGAGUUGAUUUCACUCGAAGCCGGAAUACUAAACUAGUUACCGUCCACAGUGGAAUCAGCGACUGGGGUGAAGUCGUAACAAGGUAACCGUAGGAGAACCUGCGGUUGGAUCACCUCCUUU
rnacentral:rRNA from 1 species